rfam:Pteropus alecto contig106322, whole genome shotgun sequence.
CUCUGUGUGGUGUCCCACUUAGAAAGGUUCAGAUCACUUAGACUAUGUGUAAUUUGGGCCUUUCUGAGUAGAGCAACACUCAGCAA